rnacentral:rRNA from 1 species
GACGAACGCUGGCGGCGUGGAUUAGGCAUGCAAGUCGAACGGUAUCAUCCUUUCGGGGGUGAGAGAGUGGCGAACUGGUGAGUAACACGUAGGUUAUCUACCCUCAAGACGGGGACAACCCAGGGAAACUUGGGCUAAUACCGGAUGUGAGCAACUUUUAGUUGUUUGAAAGGUGGCGUAAGCUGUCGCUUGGGGAUGAGCCUGCGUCCUAUUAGUUAGUUGGUGAGGUAACGGCUCACCUAGGCAAUGAUAGGUAGGCGGCCUUAACGGGUGGUCGCCCACACUGGGAUUGAGAUACGGCCCAGACUCCUACGGGAGGCAGCAGUCGAGAAUAGUCUACAAUGGUCGGAAGACUGAUAGUGCGACGCCGCGUGAACGAUGAAUCCCUUCGGGGUUAAAGUUCUUUUAUAUGUGAGCAGUGCUUUCUUAUAUUAACAGUAUGGGGAAGAGAUAUUAGCAAUAUGAAAUAAGCAACGGCUAACUCCGUGCCAGCAGCCGACGGUAAUA